CAGUUGGUAGAGCACGACCUUGCCAAGGUCGGGGUCGCGAGUUCGAGCCUCGUUUCCCGCUCCAAGCCCGAGUGGUGGAAUCGGUAG
rnacentral:tRNA from 1 species